GGCACCUUAUGAGUACCCUAUAUUUAAAAUUGGAAUGAUACAGGGAAGAUUAGCAUGGCCCUGCGCAAGGUUGACACACAAAUUUGUGAAGACUUCCAUAUUUAA